GACGAACGCUGGCGGCGUGCCUAAUACAUGCAAGUAGAACGCUGAAGGAGGAGCUUGCUCUUCUGGAUGAGUUGCGAACGGGUGAGUAACGCGUAGGUAACCUGCCUGGUAGCGGGGGAUAACUAUUGGAAACGAUAGCUAAUACCGCAUAAGAGUAGAUGUUGCAUGACAUUUGCUUAAAAGGUGCAAUUGCAUCACUACCAGAUGGACCUGCGUUGUAUUAGCUAGUUGGUGAGGUAACGGCUCACCAAGGCAACGAUACAUAGCCGACCUGAGAGGGUGAUCGGCCACACUGGGACUGAGACACGGCCCAGACUCCUACGGGAGGCAGCAGUAGGGAAUCUUCGGCAAUGGACGGGAGUCUGACCGAGCAACGCCGCGUGAGCGAAGAGGGUUUUCGGAUCGUAAAGCUCUGUUGUAAGAGAAGAACGAGUGUGAGAGUGGAAAGUUCACACUGUGACGGUAUCUUACCAGAAAGGGACGGCUAACUACGUGCCAGCAGCCGCGGUAAUACGUAGGUCCCGAGCGUUGUCCGGAUUUAUUGGGCGUAAAGCGAGCGCAGGCGGUUAGAUAAGUCUGAAGUUAAAGGCUGUGGCUUAACCAUAGUACGCUUUGGAAACUGUUUAACUUGAGUGCAAGAGGGGAGAGUGGAGUUCCAUGUGUAGCGGUGAAAUGCGUAGAUAUAUGGAGGAACACCGGUGGCGAAAGCGGCUCUCUGGCUUGUAACUGACGCUGAGGCUCGAAAGCGUGGGGAGCAAACAGG
rnacentral:rRNA from 1 species